rnacentral:rRNA from 1 species
CUGGCGUGCUCAGUGCGUCCGAGUUGUAAUCUAUAGAGGCGUUUUCCGUGCCGGACCGUGUCCAAGUCCCUUGGAACAGGGUAUCAAAGAGGGUGACAAUCCCGUACUUGACACGACGACCGGUGCUCUGUGAUACGUCUUCUACGAGUCGAGUUGUUUGGGAAUGCAGCUCAAAAUGGGUGGUGAGUUCCAUCUAAAGCUAAAUAUUGGCGAGAGACCGAUAGCGAACAAGUACCGUGAGGGAAAGAUGAAAAGCACUUUGGAAAGAGAGUUAAACAGUACGUGAAAUUGUUGAAAGGGAAACGAUUGAAGUCAGUCGUGACCGAGAGGCUCAGCCGGUUCUGCCGGUGUAUUCCCCUC